rnacentral:rRNA from 1 species
GUGGGGAAUAUUGGACAAUGGGCGCAAGCCUGAUCCAGCCAUGCCGCGUGAGUGAUGAAGGCCCUAGGGUUGUAAAGCUCUUUCACCGGUGAAGAUAAUGACGGUAACCGGAGAAGAAGCCCCGGCUAACUUCGUGCCAGCAGCCGCGGUAAUACGAAGGGGGCUAGCGUUGUUCGGAAUUACUGGGCGUAAAGCGCACGUAGGCGGGUAUUUAAGUCAGGGGUGAAAUCCCGGAGCUCAACUCCGGAACUGCCUUUGAUACUGGGUACCUAGAGUAUGGAAGAGGUAAGUGGAAUUCCGAGUGUAGAGGUGAAAUUCGUAGAUAUUCGGAGGAACACCAGUGGCGAAGGCGGCUUACUGGUCCAUUACUGACGCUGAGGUGCGAAAGCGUGGGGAGCAAACAGGAUUAGAUACCCGUGUAGUCC